rnacentral:rRNA from 1 species
GAUGAACGCUGGCGGCGUGCCUAAUACAUGCAAGUCGAGCGAAUGGAUUAAGAGCUUGCUCUUAUGAAGUUAGCGGCGGACGGGUGAGUAACACGUGGGUAACCUGCCCAUAAGACUGGGAUAACUCCGGGAAACCGGGGCUAAUACCGGAUAACAUUUUGAACCGCAUGGUUCGAAAUUGAAAGGCGGCUUCGGCUGUCACUUAUGGAUGGACCCGCGUCGCAUUAGCUAGUUGGUGAGGUAACGGCUCACCAAGGCAACGAUGCGUAACCGACCGGGGAGGGUGAUCGGCCACACUGGGACUGAAAAACGGCCCAGACGCCUACGGGAGGCAGCAGUAGGGAAUCUUCCGCAAUGGACGAAAGUCUGACGGAGCAACGCCGCGUGAGUGAUGAAGGCUUUCGGGUCGUAAAACUCUGUUGUUAGGGAAGAACAAGUGCUAGUUGAAUAAGCUGGCACCUUGACGGUACCUAACCAGAAAGCCACGGCUAACUACGUGCCAGCCGCCGCUGUAA